rnacentral:rRNA from 1 species
AUUGAACGCUGGCGGCAUGCCUUACACAUGCAAGUCGAACGGCAGCGGGGGAGAAGCUUGCUUUUCCUGCCGGCGAGUGGCGAACGGGUGAGUAAUACAUCGGAACGUGCCCUGUAGUGGGGGAUAACUAUUCGAAAGAUUAGCUAAUACCGCAUACGACCUGAGGGUGAAAGUGGGGGACCGCAAGGCCUCAUGCUAUAGGAGCGGCCGAUGUCUGAUUAGCUAGUCGGUGGGGUAAAGGCCUACCGAGGCGACGAUCAGUAGCUGGUCUGAGAGGACGAUCAGCCACACUGGGACUGAGACACGGCCCAGACUCCUACGGGAGGCAGCAGUGGGGAAUUUUGGACAAUGGGCGAAAGCCUGAUCCAGCAAUGCCGCGUGUGUGAAGAAGGCCUUCGGGUUGUAAAGCACUUUUGUCCGGAAAGAAAUGGCUCUGGUUAAUACCUGGGGUCGAUGACGGUACCGGAAGAAUAAGGACCGGCUAACUACGUACCAGCCGCCGCCGUAA